AGCUGUUCCCCUCUGGAGGUUUUGAGAGACCUUCUAACUCAAAGGGCCCCGUUUUUCGGUGGCCCUCUUUUUUUGCCUGCA
rnacentral:sRNA from 1 species